CCAGGACUGAACGGUUCUAGGCGCGGACCCCCUGCUACUUCAUUUUUACGAGACAUUUCUAGAAAAUUUUAAUUUUGAGAUUAAAGCAAUGUGAAAUUGUGAUCUACCGUGUUACAGACAAGUUUCUUCUCACCACUCUUGAGCUCAGCAGCUGAGUUUCUAACGAGACAACACCUGCGGUGCGUCCGCAAACAGCCCACAUUGU